rnacentral:rRNA from 1 species
GAUGAACGCUAGCGGCAGGCUUAAUACAUGCAAGUCGUGGGGCAGCGCAGGUAGCAAUACUGGGCGGCGACCGGCAAACGGGUGCGGAACACGUACACAACCUUCCGAGAAGUGGGGAAUAGCCCAGAGAAAUUUGGAUUAAUACCCCGUAACAUAACGAUGUGGCAUCACAUUGUUAUUAUAGCUUCGGCGCUUCUUGAUGGGUGUGCGGCUGAUUAGAUAGUUGGCGGGGUAACGGCCCACCAAGUCUACGAUCAGUAGCUGAUGUGAGAGCAUGAUCAGCCACACGGGCACUGAGACACGGGCCCGACUCCUACGGGAGGCAGCAGUAAGGAAUAUUGGUCAACGGACGCAAGUCUGAACCAGCCAUGCCGCGUGAAGGAUUAAGGUCCUCUGGAUUGUAAACUUCUUUUAUCUGGGACGAAAAAAGGCGAUUCUUCGUCACUUGACGGUACCAGAUGAAUAAGCACCGGCUAACUCCGUGCCAGCCGCCGCGGUAAUAC